rnacentral:rRNA from 1 species
GAGUUUGAUCCUGGCUCAGAUUGAACGCUGGCGGCAUGCCUUACACAUGCAAGUCGAACGGCAGCAUGAUCUAGCUUGCUAGAUUGAUGGCGAGUGGCGAACGGGUGAGUAAUACAUCGGAACGUGCCCUGUAGUGGGGAUAACUAGUCGAAAGAUUAGCUAAUACCGCAUACGACCUGAGGGUGAAAGUGGGGGACCGCAAGGCCUCAUGCUAUAGGAGCGGCCGAUGUCUGAUUAGCUAGUUGGUGGGUAAAGGCCCGACCAAGGCGACGAUCAGUAGCUGGUCUGAGAGGACGAUCAGCCACACUGGGACUGAGACACGGCCCAGACUCCUACGGGAGGCAGCAGUGGGGAAUUUUGGACAAUGGGCGAAAGCCUGAUCCAGCAAUGCCGCGUGUGUGAAGAAGGCCUCGGUG